rnacentral:rRNA from 1 species
UGACCUACCUUUCAGUGAGGAAUACCGGUGAGAAUUGCCGACAAUACCGCAUGCGCUUCCCCUUGUGGAGAGGGGAAGGAAAGCCUUUUCUUGUGAGAGAGAAGGCGCUGGGAGAUGGGCCCGCGGCCGAUUAGCUAGUUGGCAGGGUAAAAGCCUACCAAGGCAUUGAUCGGUAGCCGGCCUGAGAGGGCACACGGCCACACUGGCACUGAAACACGGGCCAG